rnacentral:tRNA from 1 species
GCGGGUGUAGCUCAGUGGAAUAGCUCAUUCUUUGCAUGCAUGAAGUCUUAGGUUUGAUACCCAACACCUCCA